rnacentral:rRNA from 1 species
GACGAACGCUGGCGGCGUGCCUAAUACAUGCAAGUUGAGCGAUGAAGAUUGGUGCUUGCACCAAUUUGAAGAGCAGCGCACGGGUGAGUAACGCGUGGGGAAUCUGCCUUUGAGCGGGGGACAACAUUUGGAAACGAAUGCUAAUACCGCAUAACAACUUUAAACAUAAGUUUUAAGUUUGAAAGAUGCAAUUGCAUCACUCAAAGAUGAUCCCGCGUUGUAUUAGCUAGUUGGUGAGGUAAAGGCUCACCAAGGCGAUGAUACAUAGCCGACCUGAGAGGGGGGUCGGCCACAUUGGGAGUGGGACACGGCCCAAACUCCUACGGGAGGCAGCAGUAGGGAAACUUCGGCAAUGGACGAAAGUCUGAGCGAGCAACGCCGAGGGAGGGAAGAAGGGUGUCGGAUCGUAAAACUCGGUUGGUAGAGAAGAACGUUGGUGAGAGUGGAAAGCUCAGCAAGUGACGGUAACUACCCAGAAAGGGACGGCUAACUACGUG